UACGUAGGUCCCGAGCGUUGUCCGGAUUUAUUGGGCGUAAAGCGAGCGCAGGUGGUUUAUUAAGUCUGGCGUAAAAGGCAGUGGCUCAACCAUUGUAUGCAUUGGAAACUGGUAGACUUGAGUGCAGGAGAGGAGAGUGGAAUUCCAUGUGUAGCGGUGAAAUGCGUAGAUAUAUGGAGGAACACCGGUGGCGAAAGCGGCUCUCUGGCCUGUAACUGACACUGAGGCUCGAAAGCGUGGGGGGCAAACAGG
rnacentral:rRNA from 1 species